AACGCAGGUGGUUUGGUAAGUCAGGGGUGAAAGUCCACAGCUUAACUGUGGCACUGCCUUUGAUACUACCUUUCUUGAGUGCAUGAGGGGGAAGCGGAAUUCCGAGUGUAGAGGUGAAAUUCGUAGAUAUUCGGAGGAACACCGGUGGCGAAGGCGGCUUCCUGGCAUGUAACUGGCACUCAUGUUCGAAAGCGUGGGGAGCAAACAGGAUUAGAUACCCUGGUAGUCCACGCCCUAAACUAUGGGCACUAGGUGUGGGAGGUAUCGACCCCUUCCGUGCCGCAGCUAACGCAUUAAGUGCCCCGCCUGGGGAGUACGGCCGCAAGGUUGAA
rnacentral:rRNA from 1 species